rnacentral:rRNA from 1 species
CCUACGGGAGGCAGCAGUGGGGAAUAUUGCACAAUGGGGGAAACCCUGAUGCAGCGACGCCGCGUGAAGGAAGAAGUAUUUCGGUAUGUAAACUUCUAUCAACAGGGAAGAAAAUGACGGUACCUGACUAAGAAGCCCCGGCUAACUACGUGCCAGCAGCCGCCGUAAUACUUCGGGCGCAAGCGUUCUUCGGAUUUACUGGGUGUAAAGGUCGCGUAGGCGGUAAUGCAAGUCAGAAGUGAAAGCCAGGGGCUCAACGUGGGGACUGCUUGUGAAACUGUGUUGCUAGAUUGCAGGAGAGGUAAGUGGAAUUCCUAGUGUAGCGGUGAAAUGCGUAGAUAUUAGGAGGAACACCAGUGGCGAAGGCGGCUAACUGGACUGUAAAUGACGCUGAGGUUCGAAAGCGUGGGGAGCAAACAGGAUUAGAUACCCUAGUAGUC